rnacentral:rRNA from 1 species
AACGUAGGACGCGAGCGUUAUCCGGAUUUACUGGGCGUAAAGCGCGGGCAGGCGGUGGUCCAAGUCGGACGUGAAAGCUCCCGGCUCAACUGGGAGAGGUCGUUCGAAACUGGGCCGCUAGAGGGCAGUAGAGGGGCGUGGAAUUCCGGGUGGAGUGGUGAAAUGCGUAGAGAUCCGGAGGAACACCAGAGGCGAAGGCGGCGCCCUGGGCUGCACCUGACGCUGAGCCGCGAAAGCUAGGGGAGCGAACGGGAUUAGAAACCCGCGUAGUCC